UACGUAGGGGGCAAGCGUUGUCCGGAUUUAUUGGGCGUAAAGAGCGUGUAGGCGGCCAUUCAGGUCAGCUGUGAAAACUCGAGGCUCAACCUCGAGACGUCGGUUGAAACCGUUUGGCUAGAGUCCGGAAGAGGAGAGUGGAAUUCCCGGUGUAGCGGUGAAAUGCGCAGAUAUCGGGAAGAACACCCGUGGCGAAGGCGGCUCUCUGGGACGGUACUGAACGCGUGAGACGCGAAAAGCGUGGGGAGCGAACAGG
rnacentral:rRNA from 1 species